CAUAAUGUAAGACAUAAUCACUUUAUCUGGAGCUGGUUUCAGACAAGAACAUGUCCACUUUCCUCUGCCAUUUCAACAAGGACAGCUGGCACAGCUCCAAAAGAUAAUUUGACCCCAGAGAAUAGAGGAUAGAGCGAGCGAGAGAGAGAAUGCAUGUAUGCAUGCCCUGCCAAUCAGUUCAGCUUCUCUUUUACAUGCCGUAAAGAGCAGCACAUCAACACAGAUUCCUAAGCCAGCCAUCUCUGCUCCUAAUGGACGUGUUUGUGAGGAAAUGAAUAGCUCUUCUUUUCCAUUAAGUGUAUUGGAGGAAUUAGUAGUUUGAGCGUAGCCACUGCAAACCAUGUUAUAUAAAAGUUCCAUCUCUAAUGCAUUUAACUUUUCCCCCUCUUUCCUCACCAUAGAUGGGAAUAAUUUGUAACAGAUGAGGCCUAAACUUUGGAGAGAGAGGUAGAUGUCAUGCUUUCUGGAAUUUACGUUUUCUGGAUCUAGUUUUGCUGUCUGAAACUGGAGUCAACGGCCAACUGAAGCACUCUGGCUUUAGUUUUUCUCUUCUGCAGGCAAGCUGAGAUGCCUUGGAGGAGGCACCGAGGACCCUUAGAGCUCAGCCAGAUGAGAAGGAGGCCAAGCAGUCAUGGUUAAAGGCCAUCCACAGUCACUCUUCUAAUCAGCAACCACUUCUUAAUCAGCUAUGAGGUCGUCUGGAGGUGGACGAGAGUCAGCAUGAUAAUCUGGUUGCCUGUAACUUCAGUCAAAUUGAAGAGGUUCCAUCAAAGCUGAAAUCCAAUAUGGAGGCUGUUAAAGUUCAUAGACAGAAGCGACAGCUCAGGCAGAGAUGGUCACCCCUUUCCCAGCAGCCCCUGCUUCUGCUCUCAUCAACUCCACUGCCCACUGCUGACAAAAUGGGCUUAUUUGACUCCUCACCCCGUGGCACAGAUGAAUAAUUCACCUCGCCGCUGCACUGCUGGGGAGGCGCAGGCAGGUUUGCAUUUGACAGAGCGUGGACAGUGGAUUAUGGGAUUGCGCAGAGGUUCUCCACUCCCAGCCUGUCCAAGAGAAAGGACUUCAAAACUGCAGCUGGGCCCGUUGAAGCCCGGCUUUGGUAGAGACAAUGCUGCUGGUACUAUAGCAAGGAUUUUGUAUGGAAAAAAGCAGAUUUAAGUACUAUAAUAGUCGUACAAUGCUCUUUUUGUAUCAAGACGCAACUCUAGAUUUUGUUGCAUUGAAAACAUAGACAUAAAAGUGACUGAUCCAGUUAGUCUGCUACACACUUAACAUGAACACUGUGUAAUGUUAGCUCUGUGGGCAAAACCUAGCAAGCCUUCUCAGAUUACUUCUAGGGCGGCACCCUAACUCUCAUGGAACCUCAUAAGUUACUGAUUUCAAACACUCUACAUAGGCAGCAGCUCCAGAUGCCAUUAAAAUGUUGAUUUCAAUAGAGAUUGAUGUUAGCAUGCUAAGCUAACAGAGCUAUACUCUUAUAAAGUGCUUCACAAUUUGUGUACUUAUGCACUAUUCUGUGCCAUUUUGUAGUAUAAAUGGUGAGUAGUAUGUUCACACUGAAAAGUCCAAAAGGAAAAAGUGCUCUUAAAACGAAUUGUGGAAUUUUGGAGACUUAAUGGUUUCUUACAUAGCAGAAGAGAAGGGGCUAUCAGACUCAGAUUUUGAAUGACAAAAUAACCUUAUAAAAUUCAUACACGAGACAGUAGAGUACAUAGUGAAUAGUAUAAGUGCAUAGUGUAUAGUAUAGUACAACUAUAGAUCAUAACAGUACUGAAACGGUUCCGAAAGUAAAAAAAAAAAAAAAAAGAUCCAGUGCUGCCUUAGAAUUUGAAUAAAAUGAGGAACAUGAAAAGGAAGCAUACUUAAGAUGACUACUUUUUAGAAAAGCCUUCAUCAAGAGUGCUUAUAAUGCCUUAAAGUGCUAAUCAAGUUGUAGAAGGGUUAUUGAUGAAUAAGGUUUUUAAAAGUAUAUAUAUAUAAUGGAGAUUAUUUAUUAUUUAUUUUUUAAGUUUUAUUGUUUUUAAGUGUUAAAAAUGAGAUUAUGUGGUUUUCAUAAUCAAUUGACACUGCUUUUGUCAUUUUUUACAAGAUGGACAAAAUUUGUCACCAAAAAAGUCAUUCGGUUUAACCAAAAUUUCGGUUUUACAGAAUGACACAUUUGGCUAUACCGAAUGACGAUAUUUUCAAACAAUGCUAACAGAUUGAUAUCUAGCUAGCUAGCUAGCUAACAAAAGGACAAUCAAACAUUUUAUAUUUAGUACAAGUUUUUAAAAUAUUACAACAUUUUCCAUGUUUUAUAGCAAGUGUACCGAAUGAUCUGAUGUUUCAGGACAUGCAUAUGAAAACCUGAAUGUUUCAAAUAGUUAAAAGAGAGUUAGUUACUUUGCUUCAUGACCAUGUGGUCCUUUGCAGGUGUCUGAAUGAGGUCACAUCCUGUCACAUGAUAUUGACCACAUGACUCGAUCCAAAAUGGUCCCUUUAUAUUGGUUACUCCGAAUGACAUUAACAAAAUUCAUUUUUCCGGACAUUUUUUCUCAUAACAAAGCAACAACUUCUUGUUGAUAUAUGAUGUUAUAAAAUCAUGCCAGAAUAAAAAAUAUAUACAUUUAUUACAUUUUAAGAUGUUUUAAUCACAAAUGAAAUGGCUGUAUUAGCCUUUGGACGGUUAAACCGAAUGACCUUUUGACACUUCAAAAUCUUUAAAAUACCUUUAUAUGUAACAAAAUAUAAUUAAAACCUUUUGGAUU